rnacentral:rRNA from 1 species
GGGUGAGUAAUGCAUAGGAAUCUGCCCAAUAGUGGGGGACAACCUGGGGAAACCCAGGCUAAUACCGCAUACGCCCACGGGGGAAAGCGGGGGAUCCGCGCUAUUGGAUGAGCCUAUGUCUGAUUAGCUUGUUGGUAGGGUAAUGGCCUACCAAGGCAACGAUCAGUGGCUGGUCUGAGAGGAUGAUCAGCCACACUGAGACUGAGACACGGCCCAGACUCCUACGGGAGGCAGCAGUGGGGAAUAUUGCACAAUGGGCGAAAGCCUGAUGCAGCAAUGCCGCGUGUGUGAAGAAUGCCUGCGGGUUGUAAAGCACUUCCAGUAGCGAAGAAAACGUUGGCUACACAAGAAGCACCGGCUAACUCCGUGCCAGCACCCGCGGUAAUACGGAGGGCGCAAGCGUUAAUCGGAAUUACUGGGCGUAAAGCGCGCGUAGGCGGCUUGGUAAGUCGGAUGUGAAAUCCCCGAGCUCAACUUGGGAA